GAACAACUGAACAUUCACUCUUAAGUACAACUCCAAUCAGCUUGAAACAUAAAUUCGCCCAAUAAAAGAAACAAAAUACAUGUUCUAAAUAUCCAUUCUUAACAUCACACCAAACUCAAAACAAAAGAUUCAACCAUCUCAAAAUGCCAAAAGAAACCAUGACUACAAUAUAUACACACAGUAACGGAUCUUCUCAAAAUAACUUUCUAAUUCACUCCAAUCACUCUUCAAUCUCCAACUCCUGUAAGGAAAACAAAGCUAAAAGGUUGAGCUAAAGCUCAGUGAGGUCCCUCACAAGCAACAAUCAAUUAAACACUUAAACAAGUAGCAAAAUUAAACAAUUAAAGAAACACUUCACUGAAUGAAUUAGAGAACACUUCACUGAACAAUCACUUUUAAAAGGAUACGGUGCUCGCAUUAGAGCCACUUCAAUACACUACACACUCCACCAAACUCCUCCUUAUAAUCUCCAAAACAAUAAACACUUCUCUCACUUAGAUGGUCAUAUCAAUAUCAGUAAUCUUCUACUCCGUGGUAAUACUCGAGCAUACCAAUACACUUACCCAAAGCUACCGUCCUAUCCGACCAAUCUCUUUUACUGGCUCGAAUAGUCUGUUGAACAAAGGGUUUUGGGGCCCAGUUCAGUUGGUGUGGUAAAGUAUACACACGGCUUACAGUCAUGCACACUUACAACAACACUUGAUCAAUUAUCAACCUUCAAACUCAAACUAAGUCGAGUGCGAUAAAGUACACUCCCGACUUAGAAGGCGAGGAACAAUUGAAAACACUUUACAAUAAAACACUAUCAUAAUCACAUAAACAUCACUUAAGUAACACAUAGGCAAUUUAAACACACAACUGUGGAAACACUCACCAUUAAAGGUCAAUUAAGCUUCAUUUUCUGGGUUAAACCUUGAUCACUCUCAAUUCCUGAGGUAAAAUACAACUACAAUCAUUUAGGUAUUCUUAAUGUGAAUUCUAAUAAGUUUAUUUAGAGUUUUAGGAUUCUGUAAACAUAGUUCAACUAAUCCAAGCAGUCUAGUACUCUUAAAACUCCCAUUUGAUUCACACUUUUAAGAUUAGGAAUUUUAUGUGCAGCCCCAAACAUAAGUUUUAAAGUUCUAAAAUGUAAGGAGAGAAGUUUUAAGCAUUAAAAUCUCACCAAUUUAAGGUUUAAGUCACUAGAAACCAAGUUCCUUAGCUUAUAAAACAAGAUGUGAAAUUCCAGCAAUUCUUUCUUACAUUUCUCUUCGAGAUUUAUCAAAUUUAUCAACUCAAACAAGGGAGAUAUACAUGUACUCCAAAUUUAAGGUCUUGUUAGGUGUUUAAACUAAGGUUAAACUAUUUUCAACCCAAAUUUAAUGAUUAAGGCCAGUGAAAUUUUCAUUUCUUUCCUUUUUAAGCUAAACUAGAUUCUAGUUUGCUUGUUGUUUAAAUUUGCUCCAAUUCACCAGUUUUUUUUAAGUGAUAAAAAUCAAUAAGAUGCACAUGAAAACUAGGACAGGAUGUUAUAAGAUGUUUUAUACAAAAUUUAUAACCAAUUAUCUUGGAAAUUUCAAAAUAACACAAGAACUCUACCUCCUAACUCCCUCGGCCAGCACACAUGUUUCCAGCUACAUUACCUCAGAAUUUUCAACAAAGUUCUAUCUUUCACUUGCUUAAAACACUAAACACUUAGUAUAUUUUCUGUCCAAUCUAAUCUAAAGCAAACUUGCAUACAAUUCCAGCAGCAGUUCCACCAAUUAGCUAGCCUCAAGUAAUCCUGUCAUCAGCAACAUAUAACCUUUAGCAAAUUUUAACAGUGUAAGUAUGAAAUUGCCUUUCUCAAUUUUAUGCAAUUUCUCACUCCCAACUUAACAUACAGGAGUUGUUGUUAUGUUACAAGGUAACUUAAGCAGCAGUAUAGAAUUUAUAACAAGGAAUUCGAAGAGAAAAGUUAGAUAAAACUCUAUUCCCUCUCUCGGCUAAAGCUGGAAAAUUUCCAGCAGCCUCCCUUCAACAUUACCAACUAAAACUACCUAUAUAUCAUAAGUUUCACAGCUAAUGAUCUUAUAUAACUUGAAAUGGAUAUAUUUCAUGCAUCUCCUAGCAUGAUUUUCCAAGAAAAUUCUUGUAACAAAUGCUAAAAUUCUAACUUCACUCCCUCAGUUAUCCCAGUAAUUUUUCUUGCACUUUGUCAGUCUUUUUAAUUCAGAUUUUCUUCAGCCAAACCUCUCUAUUUUACUCUUAAAUCUAACAUGCAUGUUAAGUCCAGUAUAUUAUACAAUGUAUUAAAGCUCAAUAUAGAUUUCUUUUGAACCAAAAUUCAUAAAGGUAGCUGAAACUUUCUCAUUUCUUCCUCUCGGCUGAAGUUGGAAAGUUCCAGUGACUUUCCUUUAGCAAUUUCCAGCUCAAACUUCCAACUUUUCACAAGUUUUCUAGCUAAACCUCUUAUAAACUUAAGAUAAAUAUAUUGCAUGCAUUUCUUAACAUUAUUCUCUAAAGAAAUAUUAAUAACAAGUUGCAGAUUUAAAUUUUCACUCUCGGUUUCCGCAAUUUUCCUUUCCUACAGCUUUUCGGUUGCUACACAGAAUUUUCUUUAGCCAAGAGCUCAUUUUCCUAGCUAAGUUCAACAUGCAGCUUGUAUAUAUUCAAUUAUACUAAAUAGGCAGGAAGUUAUUGCAGAAUCUUACAUCUUUUCCCCCAGAAUUCGAUAAUUGCAAACUGCUCUAAUUCUCUGCAUCGGUUCCUCAAAAUUCUUGCACUAGAUUCUCACUCCAGUUCUCCUUGCUUUACUCUCGCUUGGUUGUGGUUAGCAGGUGUUGAAGCUAGCAAAAUUUCUGUCCCUCACUCUCACUUCUACUCUCAGUUUUGAGGUUGGAGAAAAUAUAGCUUAGCUCUCAGUUGUUCUUCUUUUGCUCUUAGCAAAUUGAUA
rnacentral:lncRNA from 1 species